rnacentral:sRNA from 1 species
AUGGACGCGGCGUAGGGAAGCGCAUAGGAAAACACGGAAGCGUAGCGGAACGACGCCAGGAAGGCGCAAGUCACGGAUGUCAGGAUUCAGUCUGCAAAGGCCCCGCUUCGGCGGGGUUUU